rnacentral:rRNA from 1 species
CACAAGCGGUGGAGUAUGUGGUUUAAUUCGAUGCAACGCGAAGAACCUUACCUGGUCUUGACAUCCCGGAGACCCUUAGGAAACUAGGGGGUGCUUCCAUCUGGAAGAAUCUGGAGACAGGUGCUGCAUGGCUGUCGUCAGCUCGUGUCGUGAGAUGUUGGGUUAAGUCCCGCAACGAGCGCAACCCUUGCCUUUAGUUGCCAGCAGUUCGGCUGGGCACUCUAAAGGGACUGCCGGUGUUAAACCGGAGGAAGGUGGGGAUGACGUCAAGUCCUCAUGGCCUUUAUGACCAGGGCUACACACGUACUACAAUGGCCGAUACAAAGGGCAGCGACACUGCGAGGUGAAGCCAAUCCCGUAAAAUCGGUCUCAGUCCGGAUUGGAGUCCGCAACUCGACUCCAUGAAGUUGGAAUCGCUAGUAAUCGCGGAUCAGCAUGCCACGGUGAAUACGUUCCCGGGCCUU